GGCCCGGUGGUCAAGCGGUCAAGACACCGCCCUUUCACGGCGGUAACACGAGUUCAAAUCUCGUCCGGGUCACCA
rnacentral:tRNA from 4 species